rnacentral:rRNA from 1 species
GGCGAUGAUGCAUAGCCCGAGUUGAGAGACUGAUCGGCCACAUUGGGACUGAGACACGGCCCAAACUCCUACCGGGAGGCAGCAGUAGGGAAUCUUCCACAAUGGACGCAAGUCUGAUGGAGCAACGCCGCGUGAGUGAAGAAGGUUUCGGCUCGUAAAGCUCUGUUGUUGGUGAAGAAGGACAGGGGGUAGUAACUGACCUUUGUUUGACGGUAAUCAAUUAGAAAGUCACGGCUAACUACGUGCCAGCAGCCGCGGUAAU